rnacentral:rRNA from 1 species
AAGACUACGAGGUCGAUAGGCAGGGUGUGUAAGCGCUGUGAGGCGUUGAGCUAACCUGUACUAAUUGCCCGUGAGGCUUGACCAUAUAA